ensembl:lncRNA
CCGCCCUGGCCUCCGGCCCCGCCCCCGCUGCCCCAGAGCCGCCGGCCCGGCCUGGGAUGGGGGCGGGGGCGUGGGCCGCAGCCCCUUCCUCUGAACCUCUGGGCCCUGGCGGUGGGGAGAUCUGCAGGGCAGGAGUGCACGGCUCGCAAGGCGUGAGGCAGAUUCUUAACCACUGUGCCAACAAGGAAGUCCUCAAACGCUGAUUGAAGGAUAUUAUGCAAAAUACUUGACCAGGACUCCUCAAAACUGGAAAAGAUCUCAAAAAGCUCGGAGACACAGAAGCAGGCACAGGUCGGAGAACACAAGGAGACACCCCAGAUGGAUGCAGGGUGGCUCCUGGUUGGAUCCUGGAACAGGGAGUGCAUUAAUGGAAAAGCUGGUAAAAUCCAAGUAAGGUCUGGACAUUUUUGUUUUUGUUCCGGCUGUACCACAUGGGAUGCAGCAUCUCGUUUCCUUGACUAGGGAUUAUAGCACUGGAAGUGUAGAGUGUCAACCACUGGACCACAAAGGAAGUCCCAGGGUCUGGAUUUUAGUUAAUAGAGAUGUACCAAUGUUGGCUUUUUUUUCUGGCUUUGACGAAUGUACCACAGUGGUGUGAGAUGAGGGAACUCUGUGUACUAUCUUUGCAGUUCCUCUGUAAAUUGAAAAUUAAAUCUGAAAUUAAAAAUUUAUUAAAAAAAACACACCCUAAUUUCACGGGUACUGUAGGUGGUCUGUUUUGGUAAGAAGUUCAGAAGGGUUUGUUCACGUCUGUUGGUAUCUGUUUGUCUGUCUGUCUGUCUGUCUCUCCUGUGGUUGAGUAUUAUCAUUUGGAGAUAGCCUCCAAAGUCUAAGCAUAGAGCCCUUUGGUCAAUGAGGCCCUGGCCAGACCGUUCCCCUGCCACCCCUCUUCCCCCACUGCAGCCACCCCCUGCUCCCUCUUUUCUGAACCUUGAAUGCUCACAUUCUGGACAGUUAGAGCUGGAAAGCCCCAAAGAGACUGGUUAGCCCAGAAUCUUGGUUUUAUAGAUGGAAAGACAAAGCAGGAAAGAGAUUUGCAUCUGGCCACAUGGCAGGUUAAUUUCAGCAAAGCUGAGAAAGGCUGCCAGGCUUUCUCCAUUCCAGGCAUCCCUGGGCCCCUUUGCCAGACACAAUGGAGGUCAGACCUACACAGGUGCUCAGAAGUACUGGUGACUUACUUAAGGACCCGAUAAGGGCAAUGUCUUGUUCAAAGGAGUGGUCUUAUUCAGGUGUCUGUUGGAGGGAGCUGUUGCAGGGGACUCCUUUGGCCUCAUCAUGUGCUCCCUUAACCAGUGAAUCCUCCCUGGUUUUGAAGUUCCAGAAAGAGACCGAGCUGAAGGUAGGCAAAAAGCGUGAUCUGGCUUGUCCCCCCUCCCCACUGCCUACUCCUCCCGGACACCAGAGCCAUUGCAGGGAAAGGGCCAGAGAGAAUCCUGUAAGACCCUGACGGUGUGCAGAGGCUUGGGUCUCCAGUCCUGUGGUUGAACCCUCCCCAGUCUUUCCUGGGGGG